GAUGAAGAACGUAGCGAAAUGCGAUAAGUAAUGUGAAUUGCAGAAUUCAGUGAAUCAUCGAAUCUUUGAACGCACAUUGCGCCCGCCAGUAUUCUGGCGGGCAUGCCUGUCUGAGCGUCAUUUCAACCCUCAGCCCCCGCUCGCGGGGCGCUGGCGUUGGGGAUCGGCCGUCCUCGCGGCGGCCGGCCCCGAAACACAGUGGCGGUCUCUCGCGGACUCCCCUGCGUAGUAGCACUACCUCGCAGCCGGAUAGCGGUGCGGCCACGCCGUAAAACACCCCACUUCUUCAAGGUUGACCUCGGAUCAGGUAGGAAUACCCGCUGAACUUAAGCAUAUCAAUAAGCGGAGGA
rnacentral:misc_RNA from 1 species